UACGUAGGGUGCGAGCGUUAAUCGGAAUUACUGGGCGUAAAGCGUGCGCAGGCGGUAAUGUAAGACAGAUGUGAAAUCCCCGGGCUUACCUGGGACCUGCAUUGUGACUGCAUUGCUGGAGUGCGGCAGAGGGGGAUGGAAUUCCGCGUGUAGCAGUGAAAUGCGUAGAUAUGCGGAGGAACACCGAUGGCGAAGGCAUCCCCUGGGCCUGCACGUGACCGCUCAUGCACGAAAGCGUGGGGA
rnacentral:rRNA from 1 species